ACUCCCUUAUGUGGGGAGCAGGACUGAUGCCUUGAGUUACUUAUAGUGACUCGUUAGUUGGGGGAUUUGCUAGUAUUUUCAUCAAACUUGAAUCUAGUGAAACAUUUGAUUGAACUGGCUUCCAAAUUGAAAAUAAACCAACACCACUCAGGAAACCUAUUUACAGCGAGAAGUCAGGAGUGGGAAUGCAUCUUGCACUGUCACCUUGAUUAACAAUAGCUCUGACCUGUGGGAGGACGGUCCUCUCUCCUGUAACAAACAUAGGGUAGUGAUGGGCCAGGUCCUGCUGCUCCUACAUUCUCAUCACUUAGAUAAGCACAGGCAGGUGACUGCAAGCCUUCCAGCCUCCACCAGCAUCCUCCAGUUCUCCCCUGACCGCUCUCAUUCAUAUUCCGCACUGAUUCAGAGGUCCAGUCCUGAGUGGCAAAAAGAAACAUGCGUGAGCCUUUCUAGAAAUCAAUCAAUCAUUCAUGGAUUAUAGUGAAUUCUUCCCUACUAAACACAUCUCCAGAAAUUCAGGCGUAGUAACUCCCUUCCUGAAUGUCUUUCCAAGGCCCUAAGUGACAUUGAUGUUCCAUAGACAAUGUCUUACACGGCAAAGUGCUUCUGGGGGUGGGAACCUGCUGACCUUCCCUGGAAUCCUGACUGCAGGUUCUGUUUAGAACAUGGGGUCUCAUUUUGAGAAGCUCUUGGUAUUUAUCAUUCACGGGAAGUUCACAGGUUCCAGAAAACACUGGACAGCAUUCAGGGGAAAGAAAAGGGGCAGAGAUGGAGACACCUGGUCAGUUUGGCCAGAGCAUCCUGGGGGAAAUGCACUGAGGGACAGAGGGGCAAAUGCACAUGGGUGGUGGGGAGAGGAGCAACGCAGAUAGCAAAGACACUGUCCAGACAACCUCCCAACUCAGGAGAAGGGACUGAAUCCAAGAGGAGAAGAGGAGGGAUGAGGCUGGGUGCUGAGGCAUGCCCCAAAGUCUUUGAAGUCUGAAAAUCAGACACCCGUAGACUUGAUUUUGGUGUCCUGAUAGAAAAACAAAAACAAUGCUAGCCAUAAUUUUUAAAGGCUUUCAUAUUUUGGGAAAUAAGCUUCUCAUUUGAGGCUAGAUUUAGUUCCUUCCCUCUGAAACAUGUUCAAUUCAUGAUUUCUACUUAAUUCAGAUUUUCUAGUUUUGUAACAACUUAAGCUGGUUGAUCUAGCUUUGCAGGCAGGCAGGCAGGCAGGAAGGAAGGAAGAAAGGAGGGAAAAGAAGGAAGGAAGGAAGGAAAGAAACAGUAAAAGAAAAAAAAGGAAAGAAGGAAGGAAGAAGACUACAAAAGUCUCAACAUGAAGUGUUUCUGCAAGUAAACAAGGAAUUCCUGCUUUUGUACCAAGGACUCCAUAGUUGUCUGGACUCCUUAGGGGCCACAAGGCCACUGGCCGUGAUGUUUCAGUGAACUGUGAAACAAAGCACUGACCCGCUGCUGUUCCACCAUGAUGCCUCCAAUCUCUGGGCCUCGAGGGAAGAUAGUAUUCGUUCAUUCUGAAAAUACUUAUUUAGGAUGUACCACUUGUCUGGUGAGUGGUGAGCAUGAUGGCUGACAGGCAGACACAGGCAAUAAUCAAGUACACAAGUAAAGAGUAAUUAAGUCCGCUUAUUUUGGAAUUAAAUAAUUUGGAGUUCAAGUCAUAGUUCAGUUUUUGACAACCAUGUCACUUUGGGUGAGACACUUAAAUGUAUAGAGCCUGCACUUCCUCACUUGUAAAGGGGAAUUAAAAAUGUGGGUAUUGAGAAGAUUGAAGCAGAUAGGUUAGGUAGUGCUUAGAAGGCAGUUCCAAGCA
rnacentral:lncRNA from 1 species